AUUGAACGCUGGCGGCAGGCCUAACACAUGCAAGUCGAGCGGAGCGGCGGACGGGUGAGUAAUGCCUAGGAAUCUGCCUGGUCGUGGGGGAUAACGUCAGGUAACGGGCGCUAAUACCGCAUCCUCUUGGAUGAGCCUAGGUCGGAUUAGCUAGUUGGUGGGGUAAAGGUCUACCCAGGCGACGAUCCGUAACUGGUCUGAGAGGAUGAUCAGUCACACUGGAACUGAGACACGGUCCAGACUCCUACGGGAGGCAGCAGUGGGGAAUAUUGGACAAUGGGCGAAAGCCUGAUGCAGCCAUGCCGCGUGUGUGAAGAAGGUCUUCGGGUUGUAAAGCACUUUAAGUUGGGAGGCGUUACCAGCAGAAGAAGCACCGGCUAACUUCGUGCCAGCAGCCGCGGUAAUUC
rnacentral:rRNA from 1 species